rnacentral:misc_RNA from 1 species
AUGGCGGAAGGAAAGGUAGUAUUCCCUUGGAAUUUGUUAUCACAGAAUUCUACUAGAAUGCCUUAUGGACCUCAAGAGCAUAUUGUUAUAAUAGGAUCAUAAUAAUGAGUUAAUUAUAUUUUAUGGAUGAGAAGAGGAAGACAGAUAAUCCUUUUCUGAAUAUGAGAACUUCCCUUUUCUUGUUCUAAUUAAAAUGAAAUUUUUAUUGAUAUUGAAAUGCUAAUGGAAACCAAGACUCCAUAAACAAUUAUAUAUAUAUGAAUGCAUGUGUAAAAAUAGUUGGAAAGCUGCCUUUUAAAUGGAGGAUCACAGAAAAUACUAGCAUGUUAUGUUGAUUUGAUUGUUUCGUAAUUCCAAAACCUCACCAAACAAUAAUUUUGAACUGGACAAAUAAACAAAAUGAUUCACAAAUAAUUUUAAAUGUUUUACUAUGUUGAAAAUUCAAAUUUGGGUUGAGAGUCUGUUUGUGAUCUUUUUUCCUUCAUAUACCAUCUCUGUAUCAUUUGUAACACCUUUAAACAUUGUGUGUGAUCCCAAGAGCAUGUGUAUUGUAAAACGUAACUUAGUUAAUAUAAACUUUUAAACAGUGACAAGCUAGGAAGUAUAUCAUUUUACUUGAGCCUCCAUCAAGGGUUGCCUAGCAGAAACUAUUAGGGAAAUCACGAAAAGUCCGCCUUUUACCUCCUGCAGACUAUUUGCCCCUGAUCUUUUUAUGUCCUCACAUUUUGAAUCCUGUGAAAUCCUCCAUUGUCAAGCCAUUAAUAAAAUGCAACUCAAGUGUGUGCAUAUGACCAAGAUGCUGUUGACAAGUUUCAAAAAUAUAAAGUUUUCCCUGAUUAAAGAGCAGUUGAGCCUUUAAAAGCAAAUGAAGGGUUCAUGCCUUCUUAAAUCUGCAGAGCAUCAUGCAGCUUUUUUGUUGGUGGACAGUGACUCAAUAUAGCUAGUGAAUCCAGUGGCAAUUUGGGCAGUAAUGCUGCUGAAAAUGAAAAUAGUCCAUAAGAAUUUGUGGAUUGGGUCAAAGGAGGAAAAAGG